UGUGACUUAUCUCUUUGUUGCCUCGGCGCAAGCUACCCGGGACCUCGCGCCCCGGGGGGCCCGCCGGCGGACAAACCAAACUCUGUUAUCUUCGUUGAUUAUCUGAGUGUCUUAUUUAAUAAGUCAAAACUUUCAACAACGGAUCUCUUGGUUCUGGCAUCGAUGAAGAACGCAGCGAAAUGCGAUAAGUAAUGUGAAUUGCAGAAUUCAGUGAAUCAUCGAAUCUUUGAACGCACAUUGCGCCCAUUAGUAUUCUAGUGGGCAUGCCUGUUCGAGCGUCAUUUCAACCCCUAAGCACAGCUUAUUGUUGGGACUCUACGGCUUCGUAGUUCCCCAAAGACAUUGGCGGAGUGGCAGCAGUCCUCUGAGCGUAGUAAUUCUUUAUCUCGCUUUUGUUAGGCGCUGCCCCCCCGGCCGUAAAACCCCCAAUUUUUUCUGGUUGACCUCGGAUCAGGUAGGAAUACCCGCUGAACUUAAGCAUAUCAAU
rnacentral:rRNA from 1 species